GUGCUCAUUUCAGCAGUACAUAUACUACAGUUGGAACAAUUCUGAGAAGAUUUGCAUGUCCCUUGUGCAAGGGCGAUACAUAAAUUCAUAAAACUUUCCAUAUUUGU